UACGUAGGGGGCAAGCGUUGUCCGGAAUCAUUGGGCGUAAAGCGCGCGUAGGCGGCCCGGUAAGUCCGCUCUGAAAGUCCAGGGCUCAACCCUGGAAAGCGGGUGGAUACUGCCGGGCUAGAAUCCGGAAGAGGCGAGUGGAAUUCCUGGUGUAGCGGUGGAAUGCGCAGAUAUCAGGAGGAACACCGGUGGCGAAGGCGGAUCUCUGGGCCUUACCUGACGCUGAGGCGCGAAAGCUAGGGGAGCGAACAGG
rnacentral:rRNA from 1 species